rnacentral:ncRNA from 1 species
ACAGGUGCCUGUGAGGGCUUAAUCGGGAAGACCGGUGUAAAUCCGGCGCAGUCCCGCUACUGUAACGACGAGCUUUUUACGUUAAACCACUGAUUGCUAAAAUCUUAGUACAAAACUAACAAUUGGGAAGGUGUAAAAAAGUGCUGACGCGAAGCCAGGAGACCUGCCUGUUUAC